rnacentral:lncRNA from 1 species
UUGAAUAAACAUCAAUUAAUAUUUGAUAAACCUUAAACAAAUUAACACUUUUCAAGAUCGCAAGCAAAGAGACUUUCAUUGGUAUAACCAAUACUCUGGAAAAUAUCAUUUUGCUUGACCUUGAAUCGCUAAACAAUUCGAAUUGUUUGAAAACCAUCUUUUCGAAUUGAACAAAAAGAGAACUUUUUACUCUCACACAUACACUGAUUUCUGUUCAUUAUGCCAACCCUAUUGAACCUGAAUAUACAAAGCUCUUGUGCCCCAUUUGUGCUUCAGAUUCUAAAAUAAUUUUGCAACCAGAUAUAGACCUCUCUGUGGAGGAGGUUUCUCCACAACCGUUGAAGAAGUUCACUAAAGCUGAAUAUGUGCUAAAAUCACCUCCACUCUCGAAACUGAUGACCCUUACCCACGAUGCUAAAAUUCGGCUGUUUGCUACCCUAUUAUCCUGGAUUAAGGUGCUGAAUGCUAUGCACUGUUGUGACUCUGAAUAGUUUGAUCUUAAGCUGUAUUUUUAUAUUGUCCAGGUUGAACAGAUAUAAAUGAAUGGGUGCAGCUCAGCAGACAUGUGAAAGUAGCAGCAUAAACGAUUCCAAGGUUGUGAAUCAAGCAACGUCUUGCCGGCUGUGAGAAGUUCUGUGCACUGUUCAGUUCGUUCAGGUGUUUUCCAGGUUAUCUUCACGAAAACGAAUGCAGACUUCCUGUGUCACACCCACUUACAAUGUAGAAGAGAACAGCAGGUGGAACGUAAGCAACUCUCGCAAGUGUAGAUUGGUCAGAGAAGAAGACGUAUAGUCCAUGGCAAUCGUGAGAAAACAAAACACAAAGGAAAGCUGCACAAUUCACUUCAACCCUGAACCUUCCAGGCGGAGCUCCAGCUGCACAUGGACAACAACAACAACACUCCAGAGAAUGGUCUGUCUGUGAAAUUGGGCUUUUAGCAGUAAGUGAGCACAACACGAAGCCUCCUUGCUGCUCUCCAGCAAUUCGAUGCCGGAUGCAUCCAAUGACCCGCCGACACACCGAUUUCGUAGCCUGCUUCG